rnacentral:rRNA from 1 species
GACGAACGCUGGCGGCGUGCUUAACACAUGCAAGUCGAACGGAAAGGCCCUGCUUUUGUGGGGUGCUCGAGUGGCGAACGGGUGAGUAACACGUGAGUAACCUGCCCUUGACUUUGGGAUAACUUCAGGAAACUGGGGCUAAUACCGGAUAGGAGCUCCUGCUGCAUGGUGGGGGUUGGAAAGUUUCGGCGGUUGGGGAUGGACUCGCGGCUUAUCAGCUUGUUGGUGGGGUAGUGGCUUACCAAGGCUUUGACGGGUAGCCGGCCUGAGAGGGUGACCGGCAACAUGGGGACUGAGAUACGGCCCAGACUCCUAGGGGGGGAAGCAGUGGGGAAUAUUGCAAAAUGGGCGGAGGCCGAAGGCAGCAACGCCGCGUGCGGGAGGACGGCCUUCGGGUUGUAAACCGCUUUCGCCUGUGACGAAGCGUGGGUGACGGUAAUGGGUAAAGAGGCACCGGCUAACUACGU